GUGAGCUCUCACGAGAUCUGAUGGUUUUAUAAGGCACUUUUUCUCCUUUUGCUCAGCACUUCUUCUUGCUACUGCCAUGUGAAGGACGCGUUCGCUUCCCCUUCCACCAUAAUUCGCAAUUUAUGAGAGGAUGAUGUGGCAAAAUGAUUUGAAAAUUGGAAGUGAUUUACUGCACAACUUAAAUAUUUUGUCUUAUCAUUACAGCAACUCUAUAAGGCCACAGGACAGCCUCCCAACCCAGCUAAAGAAUCAAGGGCGGAAGGCCAAAAUCAUCUGAAAACAAAUAUGAUACUUCAAAAAUGUCUGAAAAGGACAGGUGUGCUUUUCAAGAAGGCUUUCCCUCAGUGGCUUUACCUUUUGUGUGCGGCCCGGAUGUAGCUGAUAAACCAAGGCUUUCUGACUUUGCAGCUUGAUAGAUAUAAUUUUCAUAGUAUAUGGAAAGAUAAUGCACCCAAUGUAUUGGACAGUUGUCCCUGUGUUAUCAAGCAGUGUGUUCUCUUAUUUCACUAACAAAUGUCCAGACAAACACACAUUGUGGCAAAUGCAAGGAAAUCACUAGCCUGUGUUUGAAACUUAAGCCUCCCCGUUCUUUAGAGUAUAGCAGUAUUCAGGCAAUAGGGAUGCAUGGUACGAGCAUUACCCUUUCUCUCUCUCCAGACUCCAGAACAUGACAAUAGCUGAUAUGUUUCAGUGCAUGAAUAAUUCUGAUUCCAGCUAGACAAUUGUUGUGAAGGAAUUGUCCUUAUAAUAUUUGUCUCAUAAAAAUAUGUAUAUUUUAUUAUAAAACAAGAAUGUUCAAAUGGACAUCCACAUUUUGGCCCCAAAUCCUCCCCUUUUGUGCAUCUUAUGCAAAGUACAUGUCAAUAAGUAUUUAUCAAAUGAAUGUUAAAAGCAUGAAAGAAUGUUUUAUGGGGAUUUUGAUGUCUUUCUAGUGAGAUACUGUUUUUCAUUUAAUCAUAACUCAUUUUUUUUGAGAUGAGAAAAUUUAGACUCAAAGUCAUGAUAAGCCACCAACAUCAUAAAGAGCAGACUCAGGAACUGAACUGUAUUCUCUGCCUGUCCCUUCAUGCAAUUUCUUUCUCCUUUCUACAGAAAAAUCCCCCCUUCCUGCUAUUUCCACCCCUGAAAUAUUUAUAGGCUGAUGUCCUCUUUAGUCAUCACUGAGCUAAGCUGCAAUCUUUUAAUCAUUUCUCAGAAGUCAUUUUCUCUAUCGGCUUAAUCAUUUCAUUUACUUCUGACUCCACCCAAAGUGCUUACGUCCCUUAAACAUGAGGUUCCAGAACUGAAACAUAGUCCUUCAAGGAACCAGAGAGAAGCCAGGCAACAUCAAUCAAGCCCCUUGAUGAUGGAACGUGUCCUCACAUGUGACUCAAUAGACGUUUUGCUGUGGGACUCUAAUUCUGUCUUGCCUUAUAGGCAAGAUGCAAUCUUUAUCAGAGCUCCAGGGGUAAUGCUGUGUCACACAAAAAUGUGCACUGCUUUUGAUAUCAGGCACACCUGGGUUCAAAUCUUGGCUUCCCGAUUUACUACUUACGUAACCUAAGGCAAGUUAUUAAGCGUCUCUAAAUCUUGGUUUCUUUGUCAGAGACAAGUUGGGAGGAAUACUAGCUACAUCAUAGGAGUCUUGUGAGAACUAAAUCACUUAAUAUAUGUAAAUGGCCUGUAUAUACUAUACCUAGCACACAUUACAUACAGCACAUUUACUAACCUCUAAAUCUAGUGUUAAAUCAAUUUCUUUCUCUCUCACCGCACUCCAUUCAAUUUACCAGGAAUUCUGUCCACCUUUCUUUCAGUUUUUCUGAACGUAUCCAUUUCUUCCCAUUGAUAUGAGUCACAAAUAGAUCAGCUGCCACCUGAUCAGACCCACCAUCAUUUCUAACCAGACCAUUGCCAUAGCCUCCUGACUCAUUCCCCUGCUUUCAUCCUUGCCUUUUAUAAUCCUUUCUCUACACUGUAGCGAUGUCAUCUUUCUAAAAGAUUACUUGGACCAGUCCACUUGCCUGCAUAAAACAUGGCAUAGGGUUCCCACUACACUUAAAAACAAAUCCAAAAUUCUUGCCAUGGACUACAGGACCUCAAGUGAUCUUUCCCUGCUUGUAUCUCUGAAGUUAUCCUUCUCCCCUCUUCUAUCACUUACUCUACUUUUAGCCAUAUAUGGCUUUUGGUUUCUUGAGCUCACUAAGCUUAUUCUGGUGCCAGAAACUUUGCCCUUUCCAUUCCCUGAGACUUAGAUGUUCUUCCCCAAGAUCUUUACAUGAUUGGUUCCUUCUCACCAUUUCAGUCUAAGACCAGAGGUCACCUCCUCCAAGAGGUCUCCCUUGGUCACCAAAUCUCACGUUGUCUCUCCCUGAUAACCUAACACUGACACUUUCUAGCACAUUACUUUGUCUUACUUUCUUUAUAUCACUUUAUCACUAUCUGAAAUUACCAUCUUUAUUUAUUUGUUUGUUUAUUUCCAGAAUGUUUUUCUCUCUCAACAGAAUGCCAGCCCUAUGAAAGAAGGAACCUUGUCUACUUUGCAUCUCUCAAUAUUGUUACCUCCUAAAAUUGUGCCUGGCAUGAAGUAGACACUCAAUAAAUAUUUGACAAAUGGAUAAAUUGGUUUGGAAGAACUGGGCUCUAUCAUACUUUUCAUAAGUAUGAAAAGCAUUUGACAAGAUAAUGAAAUCUUAAGGUAUUCUCACAUAAAUUUAAUAUCUCAGCCCUAAAUUUUGCAUAGCCAGGAAAUUCUGUAGCAUUAUAAAAUGGUUCAGAACACAGAGCAUGUUUUAAUCCUAGCUUUGCCACUUCCUUUCUGUGUGACCUUGGAUAAGUCAGCUGACGUAUUAAAACUGGUUUUCUUGUCUAAAAAUAUAAAGAUAAUAACAUACAAUAUUAGAGGGUUUUGUGAGGAUUAAAAGAGCUAAGUCUAUAGCACAGUUCCUGGAACAUUGUGUGCAGUCAAUAAAUGGUGGUUAUUAUUAUUACGGUUAUUGUUCUUACAGUAAUUAAUUCUGGCACCAUAUUUUACAAAGAACUUUGACAAAUUGGAGCCCAUCCAGAGGAGAACAAACAAUCUUGUGAAGGGUCUGGAAACCACAACUUGUAAGGAAUGAUGGAAAGAGCUGAGGAUGUUUACCUUGGAAGAGACACAUUUUAAGAGGAACAUGAUAGCUUUUUUAAAAACACUGAAAAGAACUGUCUGGUGGAAGACAGAUUUGAUUUAUUCAAUGUUACUCUGGAGUAUACAUUUAAAGCCAAAGAGUAAAAGUUAAAUCUUAAAUUCUUUAUGAUCUAAUAACCAAACUUUCCCAAACCAAAAUAGUAUUGAAUUCUACUUAUAAUAGUAAAAACUUUUAAGUCAUGUUUGCAUAAAUUUUUAUUAGGGAAAUUAUAUCGUAUAUGAAGCCACUUGCAAUUACCACUGUAUUCGUCCAUUUUCACACUGCUAAUACAGACAUACCCAAGCCUGGGCAAUUUACAAAGGAAAGAGGUUUAAUGGAGAACUCACAGUUCCACGUGGCUGAGAAAGCCUCACAAUCAUGGCAGAAGGUGAAAGGCAUGUCUCACAUGAUGGCAAGCAAGAGAAGAAGGCUUCUGCAGAAAAACUCCCCUUUUUAAAACCAUCAGAUCUCAUGAGACUUAUUCACUAUCACAAGAAUAGCACAGGAAAGACCUGCUCCCAGGAUUCAAUUACCCCCUACUGGGUUCCUCCCACAAGAUGAGAUUUGGGGUGGGGACAAAGCCAAACCAUAUCAACCAUAUUAAGACUUUGUAUCAAUAUGAAAAGUAUGUGUGGGAUGUCAAUUGCAAAAAAGCAGACUAUGAAAUAUGUGCAUAAGCAGACUAUGAAAUAUAGGCACUCUAUAGAGAGAAACAGAAACAAAGAGAGAGAGAAUAUAAACACAAACACAUGCAAAUAAAAUGUGUUACUUCAAGAGGUGAUGAGUUUCCUGUCCCUCCAAAGGUUAAAGCAGAGACCAGACAACCUCUUAGAAGAAACAGCAUGUGAGAAGUGAUAUUACAGACAAAGCAUUGGGCAGGGUGAACACUGAAACGAUUUCAAAGCUCCUUGGGUCUAUGAUCUGAUGAAUAUUGUUGAAUUGUGGGCACAAAACUGUGCUUUUUAAAAUAGUAAAGAUGACAUUAAGCCUCUCAAAUAUUUUCAUUUCCUCCCAAUUAAAACAGGCAAAAAAAAUCUAGUACCAAGAGACCCAAGUUCUGGGCUCCAUGAUCUACUAGGGCAUUGUGGCAUCAAGACCCACAAAGUGGACAUUUCUGGCCAUUAUUUCUCUUCUGCUCCAGCAAAAGCCUGUCAACCUCUCUGAACCUCAUUUUCUGGAUCCUUUCCCAAAAAGAAGGAAGUUGCAUGCUUUCUAUUUCUAAGAAUCUAUGCUUCAUCUUGAUUAUUUUCUUUCAUAAAUCUGAGCUUGGCCAGAAAUUAGAAGCCACCUGAACUUUGUAAAUAAGGAAUUUCCAAGAACACUAACAAGGGAAUAACUGUAGGAGAAUUUUGGUCCCCAAAUCAGGGAUGGUCCUUUUUCCACAUAAGUUUCAAAAAGUAAUAAAUAAUUCCUAUUAUAAUUAAAUGGGUGAAAAGUUUAGAACUCUAAGAGACAAGCAUCCAAAAGUAGGGUUUUCCUAGAAAGUCUCUUUAUAUUUUAUGUAAGAUGACAUUAAGUCAUCACCUGCAUUGCUUUCUUGGCUUUUGAUGAUAAAGGAGCUCUCCUCUGUUGUUGUUAAACUUCCAGGCAAGUUUUCGGGCUAUCUUCAUCCUAGAAGGGCCAAUAGACAGAAGAUUGCCAUUUUCAAGCAUUGAACACACAAUUGGAUCCUUCCUUGACGUCAACUUACCUCCCAUUUUAUAUCUCGGAUGAUUUCCAGUGGUGACAAAAACAUGUAUAUUUCCUUUCCCACUUAGGGAACUAUGAGGUGUGCUUUGACUAGCCAAUAGAGAUAUUACAAAAUAGCAAACCCAUAAAACUUCUAGAGACUUCACGAAUCCUGUAAGAACAGCCUCAUUCUCUUCGAAUCCUUGGUUAUAAUUCACAUAGAUUAUCUUGUGGGAAUAGAACAAAGUAAGCCUUGCUGUGCCAUGCUCUUCUUGUGAAGAGUUCUCUGACUCCUAUAUUUCAGAUGAAGGAAUCAUUGUAACAUGACAAUGGUCAGGGAGUGCCCUGCUCCCAUGCCCAGAAUUGACCUACCAUCCUCAAACCAAUAAGCUCAAGCCCAGAUGAUUACCACCUACAUGGAAGGUAACUUUUUUUUCAGAAAAUAGAAAUUUGUUAAUAUUUUUAUAAUUGAGAUGAAAUUCACAUAACAAAAAUCAACCAUUAUAAACUGAACAAUUCAGACCGAUUUAUUACAUUCACGUGUUGUAUAAUCAUGACCUCUAUAUAGUUGCAAAACAUCUUCGUUACCUCGAAAUACAACCCUGGACCCAUUGUGCAGUUCCUCCAUUCUCCCCUCUCUCCAGUCCCUGGCAAAUGUUUGUUUUCAGUCUCUAUAGAUGUACCUAUUCUGGAUAUUUUAUAUAAAUAAAAUCAUGUAACAU
rnacentral:lncRNA from 10 species